CAUCCUAUAUAUUAACAAUAGAAACCAUUACUAAAAGUACUGUGGAGGCGCUGAGAGGGGCUGAGGUUGGAGUAUUUCAAAUUGGAGCUCCCUCAGCGUUUUCGUCACUGUGCAUUUCAAAGGACGCUGCUGCGAUUCGAAAUUGUGUUGUUCUUCAGAUUUCGGCUCCUCCCUCCAAAACCUGUAGCAGUUCGAAAGGUGUGAAUAGGAACGCAAGAUUCUUAGUAAUCAAUAUGUUGUUUGCUUCAUCCCUUUCCCUAUAAAUAACAAUUGAUAGUUUCCAUUUCCAUCACAAUCCAUUCUCGAUCAGUUCUUCAUCUUCUCUGUUUUGGGAUUUCUAAUGGGUAGGAAGCAGAGAGAAUGAAGGUUAGAGUUGUAAGGAUUCCUCAUAUCAAUUCUUGCCUCCAGUAGCAUCUGCUCCACUUAUAGUGCAUAAGACUUCUUGGUUGAGUUGCUGUGGCCUAUUCGAUGUUCUGUCAGGCUCUAACGGAUAAAUCAGACGGCGAACAACGACCAACAUUUCUUUGGUGAGGUUAGAAUCGGAGGUGCUGAUCUUGCAAAGUCUGUGAAAAUUGAAAAAAGUGGGAUUAGUUACAUUGAUAUUCCAAUUACCUUCAGGCCUAAGGAUUUUGGGUCACUUAAGCAUUCACACAGAACAAAGGUUAUCACUAGGUCCUCCCUUUCUUCACUAUAACACACAGCCACUGUGGCAUAUCACUAGCAAUGGCAAUGAUCAUAAGAAAAUGGAAGUCAUUGGCUUGGUAGAUGGAGAUGGGACCGAAACCGGAUAUAUAAUUGUCAGUCACAACCAUUGCUGGUAAAAAUGGCCAGCCAAAGCAGAACAAGUUAAAUUAUUGUUGAGAGAAUGAGGCAAGGUUUUCUCUCGAGCCGAGCCUAGACACAACGAAGAAAUUGUGAGACUAUUGAAGGAAAUGGGAGAGAUUGUUGCAAUGACUGGAGAUGGUGUGAAUGGUGCACCUUCACGUAAGCUUGCUGACAUAGGAAUUGCUAUGAGAAUAACUGGAACUGAGGUAAGGUAACCUGACUUUUGCUAUACUGAGGUCGCGGUUAUGCUGCAAACCUAUAUAUUGUAGUAAUAAUUAAUAAAGGUUGAAAUAAUAUUUCACCAUUUUAUCAUAAUAUUUGUUUAAAAUUUAUUUAUAUUGUGGUAAGAAGGUGAAAUAUGAUUUAAUAUUUGUCAUAAUCAUUAGUUGAAGUGUGGGGUAAACCUCAAAGCUAAGACGUGUCUUACUUCGCUGUGAUUAUUUCUAACCUUAUAUUGCUAAAUAACAUAGGUUGCAAAAGAAGCUUCAACUAUGAAGCUUGCAGGUGACAAUUGUAGUUAUAAUUGAAACAGGAUCGAAAAACAAGAAUGCUCCUUGGAUUAGUCUUAAUUGUUGUUAUUCUUUACUUGCUGCUGAAGCUCUUCCAUUGUUAAUGUUUCCUCUACUAUUUUGUUUCUCUAAUCAGCCUGUUUGCCAUGAUGUUAGUAAUUUUAAACUGAUAAUAUCCAUAUGGAGUUAAAAAAAAUGUGUUUUAAGGUGAAUAUGAAGCACAAAGCAUAAUAAUUAUUCAGAAACUUGAUCUUAAGUAGAUUGACAUUUGUUUUAGCUUCUUGAAUGUACUUCUUUAUCUUGGUAGCAAUGAUGUUCAAUGCCUAUGUAAUUAUUCUUUUUAUGUAGAUAUUUAUAUUUAUAUAGAUUGUAAAUGCGAGCUUCCGUUUUUGGUUUUGUAUAUAUUAAAAUUAAAGUUUGCUGUUAAUGAAGUUGUUUUAAGAGUUUAAAAUUAGCACAUUAUGCUCCUGUAAAUUUCGAAUGGAGAUUUAAUUAUUGAAAUUUCAAAAUGUGUAUGGUGAAAUGAAAUUUGUUUUACUCUUCUUGCAUGUGUUCAUAUUUGAUUUGAUGAUGCUGCCAUUGAUUACAACUCUUAAGAACCCUUUUGAACCAACUCACAAGUUAUAUUGACAAGAAAGUUGUUGUGAGCUAUAUUUUAGUCUAUUAUUAGUUUUAGAUGUCUACUUUUUUGGUAUUGAUUUUCACAUCCACAGGCCCAGGGUAGCUGACGCUAAUGCACAUUGUGACUUAUUUAUGUUUGGCCCAGAAUUCGCUUUUUAAUCCUUCAAUGCUUGUCCUAUAAACUGUGUAAUUUGUAAUGAUUCGGUGGAGAGUGAUUGGCAUUUUCUUUUUUAGUGUGAUAUGAGUAUUCAGAGCUGGCAAACAGCAGGAUUAUGGCCUCAAAUUUGGGACAGAGUUCAAAGAAUGAAUUCAGUAGCAGAAGUGGUGCUAGAUAUUUGUUCGUGAGAAGUCGAGGCUGUGGUGAAUUGAUUUAUGAUGAUUGUGGCAUAAUAGGAAUGAAUGGAUAUGGAAUCAAAAACAAAUGAACCCAAACCAGAUUACUCAAUGGUCAGAUUGAUUUAGGUUGAAGGCAUAUGGCACCACUCUAACUCCACUCUAACUCAGGUGGAAUUAGGCCUUUCAAACUACAAUUUGCAUGAUUAAGAUGAGUUAGAUUUAUAAGCUUACCAAAAUGAAGUGGAACUCCAUCAUCAAACUCAUUGUAAUAUCCUAAAAAAGGAAAGCUUCACUUCAGUGGUUCUUGGAGAAAAGGAAGAAUAGGGCAUCAUAUCAAACAACUUAUCCAGUAGCAACCACUAAUAAGACAGUUGAUGAAUCAUGGCAUGGCUCUUCUUGACAUCACAACACAAAUCUGAAUGUAGCUCCACCUCAAUGUUAUUUUAACCGAUUUUGUUUUGUUGGACAAACUCCAACAUUUAAUAGGCUUCUUUGCUAUCCUGUUGUUGUUUCUCUAUGAAUUGGAUUGAUCAAAUCAGAUGUGUGUUUCUCUAUUUUUGCGGGACUGAGUCCUAUGCUAAGAAAAAUAUCUACACAUAUUUGUGAAGGUUGUUGCUCAUGCUUAUUAGUAUCAUAUUUAAGAAUGUAGUUUUGAUUGACCCCACACAGUGUACUUAUAGUUACUUACAUUCAUUAUA